rnacentral:misc_RNA from 1 species
UACAUAGGGUGCAAGCGUUGUCCGGAAUUAUUGGGCGUAAAGAGUUCGUAGGUGGUUCGUUACGUCGGAUGUGAAAAUCUGGGGCUCAACCCCAGACCUGCAUUCGAUACGGGCGAGCUAGAGUUUGGUAGGGGAGACUGGAAUUCCUGGUGUAGCGGUGGAAUGCGCAGAUAUCAGGAGGAACACCAAUGGCGAAGGCAGGUCUCUGGGCCAAUACUGACACAGAGGAACGAAAGCGUGGGGAGCGAACAGG